UGUUACGAUGGACGCACGCGCACUGGAUCCCUACAGUAUAAAUACCAGACUCCUUCAGAAAAAAUCAUCUGCAACAAUUUUUUCUCUCUCUUCUCUUCUAUCCUCUCUUGCUCUCCUCUCUCUUCUCUUCUAUCGGUCACCGGCCUGCCGCCGGCCAGCCCCACCUUCAUCGGAAAAUCCCAAAAGAAACCUAAAAAAUCCGAAAUUCACCAAAUUCAACACUAAAACUCCCACCUCCCCAAAUAUUAAUCCAAACUCAAAAACACAAAAUCAAAUGAAACAACUUUAAACCCAAAAAAUCACAUCUCUUCUGUUUUAGAUCUACACAAAUCAAAACCAGUAAAGAGUGAAAUAUUUAUGAAGAUCUAAAGUUUAGAUCUGCUGCUGGUUUCGAAGGAAAAAAAAUAGUAAAGGUUAUUGAUAAUUCAUGGAGGCAAGGAUUGUAGUCAAUUUUGGUUUAUGCAGAGUGUUUGUCCAGUAUAUCCUCUUUUUUUGAAGCUAGUGAAAAGUGAUGAAUCAAUAUUUGAUUCCUAAUUUUUCUCAUCCUAUCACUGCUAUUCUUUUGUAUAAAUAUUUUAGAUGUUUCCAGAUCUAAUUUGAUUUUAAUAUAAAUCUGUUGUUUUACAUGCAACACCUGCAAAUUAUACAUGAUUAACAAAAAAAAAUGUUAUUUAUGGAGAUUUUGAUGGAAUACAUGUAAGAUGAUACCCGUGGAUUUUUAAUUGUACACCUGCAAAAAAAAAAAAUACCAACAUUUGUCAAUAAUAUUAUAUGAAAAAUAAACAAACGCAUGCAAUAUGCAGAAAAACAAAUUGUAUGAAGGAUGGUGAAAAAUAAACAAAUGCAUGUAAUAUGCAGAAAAUAAAUUGUGGAAGUGUGUGGGUUGAAGGAGAGAGGAGAUACAUGGAGAGAGAGGGAGGACGAGAGGGAGAGAGAGAGACUUGAUGGUGGUUUAGAGGAGGUAGAGAGAAUGGAGAAUGAGUUGGUUGUUGAUAGAUUGGAGAGUGUUAUAUAGUGUUAGUGGAAAGGAACAAUAGAAGAACAACCAAUGCAUGUAAUCCAAGUAGUGGAAUAAGAAUAAACAUAAAAAUAACAAAUGGCCCCCACAAAAUCCAAACUUUUAUGUGGAUUGCGGCACAUGAACGUCUCCUGACUAACUAUCGUCGUAGCAAAUGGGGAAUUGGAGUUUCACCCAAUUGUCCUUGUUGUGGAAACGGUGAUGAAACACUCAUCCAUGUUUUGCGAGAUUGUGUUUACGCAACCCAGGUAUGGAUCAAGUUAGUUGCUUCAAUUCAUAUUACUAAUUUCUUUUCUUUGAAUUGCAAAGACUGGAUCUUUAAGAACCUCGCCAAUCAGGAGUGGCGAUCUAUAUUCAUGGUGACUUGUUGGAAUCUUUGGAUGUGGAGGAACAAAUCUAUUUUUGAGGAGGACUUUCAUAGGCCUAUUGAUCCUAGUCGUGUCAUUCUUGAUUUGGUUCAAGCCAUCGAUAUGGGAGAUCAUCUGCACCUAACAGGAGGAUGGUAUGGUUGGGAAACUUCGAUCUAGGUGGAUUGGCCCUUUUGUUGUUACUAAUGUUUUCCCUCAUGGUGCAGUAGAAAUAAAAAGUGCAGGUACUAUCUUGCAGGCUUCUCAGGAUUCAUUCCAGAGUCAUCUGAUAUUUUUGCUAGCUGAAUUAUAUGCUAUUUACAAGGGCCUCUUGUUGGCCAAAGAUAUGAAUAUCAAUGAACCUGUUUGCUACUCUGAUUCUUUACACUGUGUUAACCUCAUCAAAGGUUCCUCCAGUUAAAUAUCAUAUUCAUGAUGUGUUGAUCCAAGAUAUAAAGGAGUUAUUCUCUAAAUCCAAUGUUUCUCUUCAUCACACACUUAGAGAAGGGAUCAAUGUGCCGAUUUCUUCGCUAAACUUGAAGCCUCUCUCAGAUGAUGACUUCUUGAUUCAUGCUUCUCCUCCGUCCUCCAAUUAAUUAUCAUAUUCAUGAUCUGUUGAUCCAAGAUAUAAAGGAGCUACUCUCUCAAACCAAUGUUUCUCUUCAAUAUCACACACUUAAAGAAGGGAAUCAAUGUACCGAUUUCUUCGCUAAACUUGGAGCUAUAUGCUGACUUCUUGAUUCAUGCUUCUCCUCCGGAAGGCACUCGUGAUCUUCUUAUAAACGACGCAAUGAGAACCUUAUUUCUUCGUGAAUAGUUUUUCUUUCUUCCUUUUUUAUUUUUUUUUCUUUUAGCUUCCUUACAAAAAAAAAGUCCUGCUUGGUUGAUCACCACCUCUAUGUAUAUGAGGAGUCUUUUUUUUUUUUUUUAAAGAAUGAAAAUAGUAUUUUAUUAAAAUUUAUUUAUUUGAUGAAGAAAUUACAAUA